CCCGAGGAAAAGAAAUCAACCGAGAUUCCCCCAGUAGCGGCGAGCGAACGGGGAGGAGCCCAGAGCCUGAAUCAGUGUGUGUGUUAGUGGAAGCGUCUGGAAAGGCGCGCGAUACAGGGUGACAGCCCCGUACACAAAAAUGCACAUGCUGUGAGCUCGAUGAGUAGGGCGGGACACGUGGUAUCCUGUCUGAAUAUGGGGGGACCAUCCUCCAAGGCUAAAUACUCCUGACUGACCGAUAGUGAACCAGUACCGUGAGGGAAAGGCGAAAAGAACCCCGGCGAGGGGAGUGAAAAAGAACCUGAAACCGUGUACGUACAAGCAGUGGGAGCCUCUUAAUGGGGUGACUGCGUACCUUUUGUAUAAUGGGUCAGCGACUUAUAUUCUGUAGCAAGGUUAACCGAAUAGGGGAGCCGAAGGGAAACCGAGUCUUAACUGGGCGUUAAGUUGCAGGGUAUAGACCCGAAACCCGGUGAUCUAGCCAUGGGCAGGUUGAAGGUUGGGUAACACUAACUGGAGGACCGAACCGACUAAUGUUGAAAAAUUAGCGGAUGACUUGUGGCUGGGGGUGAAAGGCCAAUCAAACCGGGAGAUAGCUGGUUCUCCCCGAAAGCUAUUUAGGUAGCGCCUCGUGAAUUCAUCUCCGGGGGUAGAGCACUGUUUCGGCAAGGGGGUCAUCCCGACUUACCAACCCGAUGCAAACUGCGAAUACCGGAGAAUGUUAUCACGGGAGACACACGGCGGGUGCUAACGUCCGUCGUGAAGAGGGAAACAACCCAGACCGCCAGCUAAGGUCCCAAAGUCAUGGUUAAGUGGGAAACGAUGUGGGAAGGCCCAGACAGCCAGGAUGUUGGCUUAGAAGCAGCCAUCAUUUAAAGAAAGCGUAAUAGCUCACUGGUCGAGUCGGCCUGCGCGGAAGAUGUAACGGGGCUAAACCAUGCACCGAAGCUGCGGCAGCGACACUAUGUGUUGUUGGGUAGGGGAGCGUUCUGUAAGCCUGUGAAGGUGGCCUGUGAGGGUUGCUGGAGGUAUCAGAAGUGCGAAUGCUGACAUAAGUAACGAUAAAGCGGGUGAAAAGCCCGCUCGCCGGAAGACCAAGGGUUCCUGUCCAACGUUAAUCGGGGCAGGGUGAGUCGACCCCUAAGGCGAGGCCGAAAGGCGUAGUCGAUGGGAAACAGGUUAAUAUUCCUGUACUUGGUGUUACUGCGAAGGGGGGACGGAGAAGGCUAUGUUGGCCGGGCGACGGUUGUCCCGGUUUAAGCGUGUAGGCUGGUUUUCCAGGCAAAUCCGGAAAACCAAGGCUGAGGCGUGAUGACGAGGCACUACGGUGCUGAAGUGACAAAUGCCCUGCUUCCAGGAAAAGCCUCUAAGCAUCAGGUAACAUCAAAUCGUACCCCAAACCGACACAGGUGGUCAGGUAGAGAAUACCAAGGCGCUUGAGAGAACUCGGGUGAAGGAACUAGGCAAAAUGGUGCCGUAACUUCGGGAGAAGGCACGCUGAUAUGUAGGUGAAGCGACUUGCUCGUGGAGCUGAAAUCAGUCGAAGAUACCAGCUGGCUGCAACUGUUUAUUAAAAACACAGCACUGUGCAAACACGAAAGUGGACGUAUACGGUGUGACGCCUGCCCGGUGCCGGAAGGUUAAUUGAUGGGGUUAGCGGUAACGCGAAGCUCUUGAUCGAAGCCCCGGUAAACGGCGGCCGUAACUAUAACGGUCCUAAGGUAGCGAAAUUCCUUGUCGGGUAAGUUCCGACCUGCACGAAUGGCGUAAUGAUGGCCAGGCUGUCUCCACCCGAGACUCAGUGAAAUUGAACUCGCUGUGAAGAUGCAGUGUACCCGCGGCAAGACGGAAAGACCCCGUGAACCUUUACUAUAGCUUGACACUGAACAUUGAGCCUUGAUGUGUAGGAUAGGUGGGAGGCUUUGAAGUGUGGACGCCAGUCUGCAUGGAGCCGACCUUGAAAUACCACCCUUUAAUGUUUGAUGUUCUAACGUUGGCCCCUAAUCGGGGUUGCGGACAGUGUCUGGUGGGUAGUUUGACUGGGGCGGUCUCCUCCUAAAGAGUAACGGAGGAGCACGAAGGUUGGCUAAUCCUGGUCGGACAUCAGGAGGUUAGUGCAAUGGCAUAAGCCAGCUUGACUGCGAGCGUGACGGCGCGAGCAGGUGCGAAAGCAGGUCAUAGUGAUCCGGUGGUUCUGAAUGGAAGGGCCAUCGCUCAACGGAUAAAAGGUACUCCGGGGAUAACAGGCUGAUACCGCCCAAGAGUUCAUAUCGACGGCGGUGUUUGGCACCUCGAUGUCGGCUCAUCACAUCCUGGGGCUGAAGUAGGUCCCAAGGGUAUGGCUGUUCGCCAUUUAAAGUGGUACGCGAGCUGGGUUUAGAACGUCGUGAGACAGUUCGGUCCCUAUCUGCCGUGGGCGCUGGAGAACUGAGGGGGGCUGCUCCUAGUACGAGAGGACCGGAGUGGACGCAUCACUGGUGUUCGGGUUGUCAUGCCAAUGGCACUGCCCGGUAGCUAAAUGCGGAAGAGAUAAGUGCUGAAAGCAUCUAAGCACGAAACUUGCCCCGAGAUGAGUUCUCCCUGAGACUUAGAGUCUCCUGAAGGAACGUUGAAGACGACGACGUUGAUAGGCCGGGUGUGUAAGCGCAGCGAUGCGUUGAGCUAACCGGUACUAAUGAACCGUGAGGCUUAACCUUACAACGCCGAAG
rnacentral:rRNA from 1 species